rnacentral:rRNA from 1 species
GAUGAACGCUGGCGGCGUGCCUAAUACAUGCAAGUCGAGCGAACAGAUGAGGAGCUUGCUCCUCUGACGUUAGCGGCGGACGGGUGAGUAACACGUGGAUAACCUACCUAUAAGACUGGGAUAACUUCGGGAAACCGGAGCUAAUACCGGAUAAUAUAUUGAACCGCAUGGUUCAAUAGUGAAAGACGGUUUUGCUGUCACUUAUAGAUGGAUCCGCGCCGCAUUAGCUAGUUGGUAAGGUAACGGCUUACCAAGGCAACGAUGCGUAGCCGACCUGAGAGGGUGGUCGGCCACCCUGGAACUGAGACACGGUCCAGACUCCUACGGGAGGCAGCAGUAGGGAAUCUUCCGCAAUGGGCGAAAGCCUGACGGAGCAACGCCGCGUGAGUGAUGAAGGUCUUCGGAUCGUAAAACUCUGUUAUUAGGGAAGAACAAAUGUGUAAGUAACUAUGCACGUCUUGACGGUACCUAAUCAGAAAGCCACGGCUAACUACGUG